GUUCAGUAUUGGGAAGAAAAAGUAAAGGGAAGAUCUUAUUGAUAUCUUCCCACUGCCUAACUGGAUUGUGUGUCAUAAUACAACCAGACUCUUAGAAAUUAACAGUGGGAGGAUGAGAGGCAACAGACACAGGCUGCAGCACAGUAAGGGAAAUUCCAACCAGACAUCCAUAAGGACCUCUUUUCCACUUGGGGGCAGUCAGAUAAGACUAGAAGUGCCCAGAGAGGCUGUGAAAUCUCUGUCCUUGCAGAUACCUGGAUUGGGCCCUGAGCAACCUGAUCUAAGCUGGCCUUGUUUUCUAUGGGACAUUGCACCAGGCAACCUCUAAAAGUCCCUUCCUACCUAAACUGCUCUGUGAUGUAAAGAAAACGUGGUUUUGGUGAAGCUUGUCAUGCAGGAAUACCACAUAUGGAAGGUAAAUAACAGGUAGGACCAGGGAACCUCUCCCAAGAUGUUGUCCUGCCAAAGAUCCAUGAAGAUGGGAGAAUGAGACAAAAGAAGACAAAUUCAUCCAGAUGGAAAAUCCAGAGACAACAGAAGUUGAUUCCUUGGCAGGUCAUCCAGCAGAGGAAGAAUUUAAAGAUCUGUGUCCCUGGGGAAGCCAGCAUCAGCCUGAAUGAAACUCCUGUGUGUGGCAGUAAAUUCAGGGUUUGAGUCCUUACAGCCAGUGACAAGAUCCCAAGAAGAACACAUUCCAGCAUGCUGGAAAUCAUUUAUGCAUCUGCCACGAAAUACCUGGAAGAAGGAAAGAGCCUGAAUCGGAACUGCCUUAUCAGGCACCAACAGAAUCACAAAUCGAGGCUCACAGCAUAAAAGAACCAACAAGAAAAACGAGACUGGAUUUGGAAAGGAGAUGGAAAUCUUGUACCUCUCACAAAACUCAGAAACCAUGGCAAAUGUUACAUCCUCACUGAAAAUUUCUGAAAAUAUAGGAAGUCAACCACUCAAGCAGCGCCUGCUAUCACUGCAGAAGACAUAAACAUAAAGAAUAUUUUCCUAAUUGCUAUGGGCCACUUCAGUAGGGUGAGUGUAGCAGGUGUGGCAUUGCCAAUUCCAGAGAGAGUACAGAGGUUUACCUGGAGCAGAAGUUCUGAGGGUGGACUCUGGGCUGGAAGAGAUGUGGGCUGUGCUCAUGAUAUCCUGGAUAAUUGUGUAUGGCAAAGGUAUACUUUCUGGGACCUUCCUCCCAUGCAGGGAGGUUUUUUCCUUUCUUCUACUGCUCUCUGUGCAAAGAAGGAUUUAAUGUGUUUUCUCCUCUGAAAUAUCUUCUGGCUCAUUUCUAGUCCAUCCUCUGUGCUCUUCAGCUUCCUCUGAGAAAGCUGAGAACACUCUCAGUGGGAUGAGCUUAAGGUGGGGAAUGCACAGGAAGCAGAAAUUAAGUUAGUACCAAACUCACUCUCGUAUAAACAGAAACCAAA